rnacentral:rRNA from 1 species
GACGAACGCUGGCGGCGUGCUUGACACAUGCAAGUCGAACGGAAAGGCCCUGCUUUUGUGGGGUGCUCGAGUGGCGAACGGGUGAGUAACACGUGAGUAACCUGCCCUUGACUUUGGGAUAACUUCAGGAAACUGGGGCUAAUACCGGAUAGGAGCUCCUGCUGCAUGGUGGGGGUUGGAAAGUUUCGGUGGUUGGGGAUGGACUCGCGGCUUAUCAGCUUGUUGGUGGGGUAGUGGCUUACCAAGGCUUUGACGGGUAGCCGGCCUGAGAGGGUGACCGGCCACAUUGGGACUGAGAUACGGCCCAGACUCCUACGGGAGGCAGCAGUGGGGAAUAUUGCACAAUGGGCGGAAGCCUGAUGCAGCAACGCCGCGUGCGGGAUGACGGCCUUCGGGUUGUAAACCGCUUUCGCCUGUGACGAAGCGUGAGUGACGGUAAUGGGUAAAGAAGCACCGGCUAACUACGUG